rnacentral:lncRNA from 1 species
AUUUAUUGGAAUUAUUCCUACAAUCAAAGAUAAGGUAUUUCAGGUUAGAAUAUCUUGAGUUCAUGACUUUUACUAGAUUUGAAAGGAAGUUAUUGGUGUGUUGAUAAUAAGUAGAAUUUUUCAUAGAAUCUACAUGUGUAUUUCUUAUUUUUUUUAUUUGAUUGUUGUAUUUGGUGUGCUUGAAACUUGGAUUAUAAAUUAAU